ACUGAUAGAUGUGACUGACGGAUAGAAGACGCGAUGUGAUGGUAGUGCAAAAACUAGAGGCAUGCCACUCAAAUGACGACGGUGCACCGCCCAAGUCGGGGGUGCCCGUUGCCUGAAGGCGGUGCAUGACACCCAAGGGGACGAUGCACAUUAUCUCAAGAAGCCGCGCGCCAGCCUAGCCUAUUACGUGUAGGCCUACAGUGCGCAAACACUUAGCACAAGUCUAUCGCGCACAGGCCUGGGCACGAGGAGCUGCGUCUGUCUAUGUGCGUUGGGGUGUGCGCACAGAUCAUGCCUCACGCCGUGCUUAGACGGGAGGGGCACAUAGUGCACGCAUCCUAUGCUAGCU
rnacentral:lncRNA from 1 species